GGAGGGGUGUCCGAGUGGCCUAUGGUAGCGGUCUUGAAAACCGUUGUCGUUGUAAGACGACCGUGGGUUCGAAUCCCACCCCCUCCGCCA
rnacentral:tRNA from 1 species